AGAUUAAGUUAUUAAGGGCGCACGGUGGAUGCCUUGGCACUAGAAGCCGAUGAAGGACGUUACUAACGACGAUAUGCUUUGGGGAGCUGUAAGUAAGCUUUGAUCCAGAGAUUUCCGAAUGGGGAAACCCAGCAUGAGUUAUGUCAUGUUAUCGAUAUGUGAAUACAUAGCAUAUCAGAAGGCACACCCGGAGAACUGAAACAUCUUAGUACCCGGAGGAAGAGAAAGAAAAUUCGAUUCCCUUAGUAGC
rnacentral:rRNA from 1 species